rnacentral:rRNA from 1 species
UACAGGGGGGGCAAGCGUUGUUCGGAAUUACUGGGCGUAAAGGGCUCGUAGGUGGCCAACUAAGUCGGACGUGAAAUCCCUCAGCUUAACUGGGGAACUGCAUCCGAUACUGGAUGGCUUGAGUUUGGGAGAGGGAUGCGGAAUUCCAGGUGUAGAGGUGAAAUUCGUAGAUAUCGGGAGGAACACCGGUGGCGAAGGCGGCGACCUGGGUAGAUACUGACGCUGAGGCGCGAAAGCGUGGGGAGCAAACAGG